ensembl:lincRNA
AAGCCAAUUUCUUUCAGGAGAGACUAAGACAUGCGCAUGUCCGGGGGUGCCUCAGAGCACCCGGGAGGGACCCAGGCCUGGGCAGGGAGGCGGGGCCGGCCCUAGGGGAGCAAAGCUCUUGAAACUGGCCUCUGUUGCCGGGCUCCUGACCCUGCCCUCCCAUCCCUGCACUACAAGAGGACAGCGGCGACUACAGGAGGCGCCGAAGACGCUGCUGAAGGCCCUAAAGAAACUUCAGCAGAACCGGAACUCCCCUUGCAGGUCCAGCCGCGGGCCCUGCGCCCUCCCGCUCAGCCGAGCGGGGCCGAGGGCGCGUUUGCUGAGUGUCUGGUGGCCUCUACCCAAGCGCCUCUUCAGAGGGCUGUUCCUGCGGCCCAGAGACUGCUUGAGGCGCUCGGGGAAGGGAAAGCAGGAGCUGGUGCGCCGGGGGCUCUGCGGGGGACGGCGCGGAGAUGACUGAAGGGCCGCUGCGGUAGCGCAGGGCGCAGGAGCUGCUCCGCCCGGGAGCGCCGGGAAGGUUGGCGCUGGCAGCCUCCAGCGCCUGCCAGUCGGGCGAGAGCAGGCGGAGAAGGAGGAUGCACCGUCACCUAUGGCUCGCCUCCACCGGCCGGCCCGCAAGAUGUGUAUUCUCAUUUUAUGGAAGACAUGUUGCCAGAGGAAAGCACAAUAUAUUCAUCUUGAAAUGUAAUACUGAGAAGAUAUGGAAAUUAUGGAAGUUGUGGCCUUCAGAAUUGACACUUACGGAGAGACUAGAACAGCGUGGAUACCGUGAACACAACAUUCAACUCACAGACACUACGGAGACCUUACUAAGCAUAAGGUACUGUGAAAUGUACUUUGAAAGAUUCAGCAAACUACUCUCACUGUAUCAUCAUAGAGUCAGUGUCUAACCAUGAAGAUCUUUUUGUUCACAAGCUAAAUGCCAUGAAAUGGGAUUCAAAACAAAUGUCCACAGAAAUUUUAUAGCAAUACUGAAGUAGACUAUAUUUUCUGAGCCUUAAUCUAAAAGAAGUUAAAACCAUUCAUCUUUAUGAGGGUUCUGAAAAGUGUUACAGUGUAGUAGAAAAGUUCUGCACUUAAAACCAAAAGACCUAUGAAUCAGGUGUGGGAUCUCACACAAGCCAGUUAUUCACACUGAGUGAAUAUCUUAACUAUCAUGUGAAAAUAAUGUUUUCUUCAUUCCCUGGUAGGUAUUAAAUGUGAAAACUUAUGAAAGCGAGACGAUAAAAUAUGAUUUGUUACUACUAUUAUGGCAAUCAACAUAUAAAACAUACUCUUUCUCUCUCUCUAUAUAUAAAUAAAUAAUAUAUAGAAUAGGAGAAAAGUUGGAUCCCCAAACAUGGCAAUGUGAUUAUUAGAUGCAUCUUUCCUCAUAGUCUUCUAUCAUAUCUAACAAGUGGCCUAAUGGUAAACUCUGCUUCUCAACCAAAAAGAAAGCAAUCUACAUUUCAAGGUUGUACUUUACCUUAUCAUAAAUUCCUCAAACUUUUAACUGGUAAGGUUAAGGCUGGACCGGUAUGUAUCUGCCACAGGUUUGUGCUCUGGAGGACCGAGUAUACAAGAAGUGUUGCCAUUUAUCAAAAGGUCAUCUUCCAACAGCUUUAUGAUCCCUAGAUAUAGCAAACUACUUAGAAAAAAGCAGCAGUUCACAUUUAGCAGUACACAUUUCUUUAACUUGUA